rnacentral:rRNA from 1 species
UAGGGAAUCUUCCACAAUGGACGCAAGUCUGAUGGAGCAACGCCGCGUGAGUGAAGAAGGUUUUCGGACCGUAAAGCUCUGUUGUUGGUGAAGAAGGAUAGAGGUAGUAACUGGCCUUUAUUUGACGGUAAUCAACCAGAAAGUCACGGCUAACUACGUGCCAGCAGCCGCGGUAAUACGUAGGUGGCAAGCGUUGUCCGGAUUUAUUGGGCGUAAAGCGAGCGCAGGCGGAAGAAUAAGUCUGAUGUGAAAGCCCUCGGCUUAACCGAGGAAUUGCAUCGGAAACUGUUUUUC